GUUUCCCUGAGAGGCCUUGCAGGCGCGGCUGCUGUGUCACAUGUGUAUCAGUAGGUGGCAGAGAAGAGAGAGGCUAUGUCUAAGCUCAAUGUUCUGACCUGUGAACAUCUGAAUAGUUAGUAGCCUAACGCU